GUGUCAGCAGCCGCGGUAAUACGUAGGGAGCAAGCGUUGUCCGGAAUCAUUGGGCGUAAAGCGCGCGUAGGUGGCCCAGUAAGUCCGUUCUGAAAGUCACAGGCUCAACCUGUGAAAGCGGAUGGAUACUGCUGGGCUAGAGUCCGGAAGAGGCGAGUGGAAUUCCUGGUGUAGCGGUGGAAUGCGCAGAUAUCAGGAGGAACACCAACGGCGAAGGCAGCUCGCUGGGACGGUACUGACACUGAGGCGCGAAAGCGUGGGGAGCGAACAGGAUUAGAUACCCUCGUAGUCC
rnacentral:rRNA from 1 species